CAGAUAUAGACAUAAAUCUUUCUAAAUUAGAUAAAACCACAGAUAUAGAUAUAAAUCUUUCUAAAUUAGAUAAAACCACAGAUAUAGAUAUAAAUCUUUCUAAAUUAAGAUAAAACCACUGAUAUAGACAUAAAUCUUUCUACAUUAGAUAAAACCACAGAUAUAGACAUAAAUCUUUCUACAUUAGAUAAAACCACAGAUAUAGACAUAAAUAUUUCUAAAUUAGAUAAAACCACUGAUAUAGACAUAAAUCUUUCUAAAUUAGAUAAAACCACAGAUAUAGACAUAAAUCUUUCUAAAUUAGAUAAAACCAUAGAUAUAGACAUAAAUCUUUCUAAAUUAGAUAAAACCACAGAUAUAGAUAUAAAUCUUUCUAAAUUAGAUAAAACCACAGAUAUAGACAUAAAUCUUUCUAAAUUAGAUUAAACCACAGAUACAGACAUUAAUAUUUCUAAAUUAGAUUAAACCACAGAUACAGACAUAAAUCUUUCUAAAUUAGAUAAAACCACAGAUAUAGAUAUAAAUCUUUCUAAAUUAGAUAAAACCACAGAUAUAGACAUUAAUAUUUCUAAAUUAGAUAAAACCACAGAUAUAGACAUGUGCAAGUACUUUAAAACUGAUAGUUAAGAAACUAAAUCUUCACAUCAAAAUAUCUCAAUGGUAACAGGUGACUGUAGAAAUUAUUCUAUUUUCAUCUACGUUUUUUUUUUGGUUUAAAUAAGACUUAGCAAAAAAUAAAAUAAAACAAUGGAGAUCAUAACGAUCCAAUAACAGCAACUAUGUUUGUAAAGCAACAUGUGGUGAACUGGAAGAGAACUACGUUUCAGUACAUAAACUAAAGUAAGAACAUGGGUUACCCACCAAGAAAUUACAGCUAAAACAGACUAUCCUAGAUAGAAAAUAUACAGAAGCAAAAUAUAUAGGGAAACCUAAACCCCUAAAUCAAGAUUAGUCUAUUUAACCCUAAGCGUACGGAAUCAGUCUAUUGGACUAAGUCCGUAAUGGAGAAUUAAUGUUUAUAAUACUUCUGAAUUAACUUUGUAUAUAAUGAAGUUUGGUAAACAUGGCAUAUUGUACACAAGACUUCAUUUUUAAUAAGGCACUCCAACUACAUUUAUUUUAGUUGACUCAGACUAAGCUGAGUGCAAGGUGAUUUUCAUGUUAAAUGGCACUUCAACUACAUUUAUUUUAGUUGAUUCAGACUAAGCUGAGUGCAAGGUGAUUUUCAUGUUAAAAGGCACUUCAACUACAUUUAUUUUAGUUGACUCAGACUAAGCUGAGUGCAAGGUGAUUUUCAUGUUAAAAGGCACUUCAACUACAUUUAUUUUAGUUGAUUCAGAAUAAGCUGAGUGCAAGGUGAUUCUCAUGUUAAGAAGAAAAAUACUUUUUCUCAUCUUACCAAUUUGAAAUUUAAUUUCCCCUAACACUAUAUUCACUCAAGUCAGUUUGACAGACAUCGUAACCACCACAAAAAACAUGAAAUGUUUAUUUCUAGAAUGAAUGUAGAUUGCAACAGAAAAUUACAAAUAUUUAUCCCAAACAGUCUAAGACUCCUAACAAUUUACAUCCCGUGAAAAGAUAGCUCCUUAUGUUAAACAAAAUAUCAAAUUAUGUAACAAGCAAAGAGGAGCCACAUGCAUACCUCACCAAGAAAUUUUUUAUUGAAUUUUUGAAAUUUUUUUAUUUAACUUAAAAAGUUUCUAACUUUUGCCUUUUACUUUUACAAUAAUAAAUAUAAAAAAACAACAUGAAAUUUAGUACUUAGGUCUGUCUCUCGUUUUGUUUGCUAUAUAACUCCAAUGAAACUUAAUCCUACUUUUUUGUAACAAUUUAUUUAUUUCAAGUAUGCAAAUAAGAACACAAAAUAUUAACAUGCAAAAAAAUACAAUGUCCUAAAACUAUUAUAAUUUAACUGGCUAUAAGUGGACUUCAAUAAUUUCCUUACCUAAUUGAGGUUACCUCGACAACAGAGAUAUCGGAUCUGUAGGAAGAAUAGCUCGAAACUUUUUUUUCCUACUGGUUAUAAAACUCAACAGUAAAUGUCAUAGAGAACAUUUUUUGAAAGAAGGGUGUGGCAUGUCCGCUUGGAUUCCUGGUUUAUAUCUCAGUAAAGGAAGAAGAUUGAAGGCUAUAAAAUGUCUAUACCAUAAUGUGUAAUUCAUGUUAAACUUGAAUAGCAGUAGUAAGUUUGUUUGUUUGUAAUUAAGCACAAAGCUACACAAUUGGCUAUCUGUGCUCUGCCCACCACGGGUAUCAAAACCCGGAUUCUAGCAUUGUAAGUCCGCAGACAUAACACUGUGCCACUGGGGGGCAGCAGUAGUAAGAAUAUUUAAAUUUGGAGUAAACACAGAGAUGUGAAGACUGAGUAUUUAUUUUAAUAUUUACUUUUGAAAUCAUGAAUUUAUAACUUUGAAUUUAACUCUGUAAAAGACCAUGUACACUUUGACCCCCACAAAUGGACAGAGGUUUAAUAGAUAUUUUAUUAUUGCUACAACAUUGGUGUUUCCCUAAUUUCGAAUUGUUGUAUAGUUUUCAUCUGUACAACAUAUUAUAUAGAAAUAUUUGUUAACACUUGUGUAAUUAUAAAGAAUAUAAUGUCAUGUCAACUACACUAAAUCUACUAUAUCCAGUAUCAAUGAGGUCUUUCAUUUAAUAUCAGGGUUCUUCAGUCUGGCUGGGAUAUGACAGGUAGAGCUGUAGCCAAGAACCGUUUCAUUUCAAACUUAUUCUAAUAUUACAGUUUUUCUUGAGCUGGGCUGAACAUUAAGAAAAUGGUGAAACACUGAUAAAAUAAACAGAUAUCUGAAUUUAGUCAUUUAUGUAUUUUAAGGUUUUUCUCAAGUUACCAAACAUUUGUAAAUUAUGUAUUAAUAUACCAGUACUCCACCAGAUUAUAAUUUACAAACAACAUAUUCCCACUGCUGGUGAAUUAAAAGUUCCAUAAUAAGGAUGCUACAUAAAAAAAUAGGUGAAAUAUGGAAUAAAGUGAUGUCUUAACACUGUCA